GCCCGCUUGGUGGAAUUGGUAGACACAAGGGACUUAAAAUCCCUCGACUUAAAAGUCGUGCCGGUUCAAGUCCGGCAGCGGGCACCA
rnacentral:tRNA from 2 species